GAGUGUGUCUGGCAAAACAGGAACUGCUAAUUCCUCACCCCCAUGGUUCAACUCCAUGGCCCACUCG
rnacentral:tRNA from 1 species